rnacentral:rRNA from 1 species
CCUACGGGAGGCAGCAGUCGAGAAUCAUUCACAAUGGGGGAAACCCUGAUGGUGCGACGCCGCGUGGGGGAAUGAAGGUCUUCGGAUUGUAAACCCCUGUCAUGUGGGAGCAAAUUAAAAAGAUAGUACCACAAGAGGAAGAGACGGCUAACUCUGUGCCAGCAGCCGCGGUAAUACAGAGGUCUCAAGCGUUGUUCGGAAUCACUGGGCGUAAAGCGUGCGUAGGCUGUUUCGUAAGUCGUGUGUGAAAGGCGAGGGCUCAACCCGCGGACGGCACAUGAUACUGCGAGACUAGAGUAAUGGAGGGGGAACCGGAAUUCUCGGUGUAGCAGUGAAAUGCGUAGAUAGCGAGAGGAACACUCGUGGCGAAGGCGGGUUCCUGGACAUUAACUGACGCUGAGGCACGAAGGCCAGGGGAGCGAAAGGGAUUAGAUACCCUAGUAGUC